GUCGCCGUCCUGCCGAGCGGUCCCCGCUCUGGCAAUCUUUGCCGACCAUCAUGAUCUCACACCGUGGAGCCUUCGCGACCUAGCGUGGGUGGCGCGCCUGCUCGCCGGUCGACCUCGUCCUCAUGGCUUCGCGAUGCUUCUGGCGGAGCGCUCGCUGCUGCCGGGCUCGCAGUGGCGUGUCGCUGAGCGGCUCUUUCGGUAACGGAGGGCCGAUUGGAGCUGCUGGCGACUCUUGCUGUGGGCUGCUGCCGCGGCCUGACGUGGCGCCGGGCUCGCCGCGCGUGAACCGGGGCACGCUGCGGCGGGAGCCAGGACCGGCGUCUUCCGGGCGGCGGCGGCUGGAGCUGUGGGCGCAUCUACACAGUGGAGAGACCUGCUUGGCGAAUGCAGUCUGGCGAAGGCAGUCCAGCGAAGGCUGGCUGGCGCAGGCCGACUAUGCGAAGGCUGGCUGGCGCUGUCUGCUGUGCUAGGGUGUUGCGAGGCUGUGUGGACUUGGUUGGGCGGUGGGCGUGCCUGCACCGCCUGUGCUAGGUUGCGGGCGCUGUGGCUUGUGCUGUCUGGUGGGUCGGACCGGCUGAUCCUCGUGGUUCAGCGAACUUGCACGGCCCUGGGCCGUCUACAGGAUGCAGCUUCGGGCUGCACCCAACAGUGUGAGGGCCCUGCCCUGUUGGUGCUGGUGUUUUGGGGUAGGAGUUGCACUUUGCAAAGUGGCAGUCAGUCUGACGCCGACCCGCGGCUUAGGUGAGCAGCGCUAGCGUUUGCGGUGAGCCUUGCUCGGGGUUCCUCCCCUCCUUUAGUGAGGCGAGGAGCGUGGGGGUCAUUCGAGGUUCCCUCCUCGAGUGUGCGUACGUGUCUCGUGCGUUUAUGGAGCCCUGGCUUGCCCGUGGCUGUCAUCCCACAUGUAACCUCUAUUCGCUUUGUACGCGGGUGGUCUUGCGCCACGAUGCCGGAGUUGGGUGCCGGAGUCACAUCAAGGUCGCAAGAUCGAAACCCAUCAGGAACGGUUCGGCUCCGUUACCUGUGUAGGCACUGAACAUACUUGUGCCGAACUUCCCCGAAAGAGUGCCAUCUCGGCCUUCCUAGGUCGCUGCUCUACGGGUGAGGACGCUGGUGCGGCGGGUUCUGAUGGUUUCCCCGCGAGAGCUAUCCUGCUUUCUAGAAGCCGGUCUGCGAGCCAGUUGGCGCUGAUGCGCCGGGGCAGGAGGAGGCCCCUGAUUAGGGAAUGCGCGUCACCCAGCGCCGAUCUGCGAGCCCGUGUUUCGAGGCGUUACCGUGGCCCAGUAUGGCCGAUGGUUGCAGACAACCCCCCUCCCCCAAAUUCGCUAAAUAAGUUAGCUCGUUCUACUCCGCUUGGUUGCAUUAGGGCGCCUCGGCGCCCUGACCCUCCUUGUCGGUAGUAGUUCCUGGCCGGCCUUUGUGGCCGCGCCCAUCCCCUGUGGCGCCUCCAUGGCGUCCCUGGCGUUGCUUAGGUCAGCUGUAGUGCGUCAGUGCUGCUCUGGCUGCGGCGCGCCACUCAGUCGGCGACAUCAUCGUCGCCGUCCUGCUGAGCGGCCCCCGCUCUGGCACUCUUUGCCGAACAUCAUGACUUCACACCGUGGAGCCUUCGCGACCUAGCGUGGGUGGCGCGCCUGCUCGCCGGUCGACCUCGUCCUCAUGGCUUCGCGCUGCUGCCGGGCUCGCAGUGGCGUGUCGCUGAGCGGCUCUUUCGGUAACGGAGGGCCGAUUGGGGCUGCUGGCGACUCUUGCUGUGGGCUGCUGCCGCGGCCUGACGUGGCGCCGGGCUCGCCGCGCGUGAACAGGGGCACGCUGCGGCGGGAGCCAGGACCGGCGUCUUCCGGGCGGCGGCGGCUGGAGCUGUGGGCGCAUCUACACAGUGGAGAGAC
rnacentral:lncRNA from 1 species